rnacentral:lncRNA from 1 species
UUUUUUUUUUUUUUUUUUUUAAAUAAUAGACACAGUCUCACUAUAUUGCCCAGGCUGGUCUCGAACUCUUGGGCUCAAGUGAUCCUCCCACCUCAGCCUUCCAAAGUGUUGGGAUUAUAAGCAUGAGCCACUGCACCUGGCCUAGUUAAUUGUUUAAAAUUAACAUUUUAUUUAAAAAUACUUAUCUUCAUAAAUUUUAAUGGUUGUAUAAUACUCCAUUAUAGGGAUAUACCAAAAGUAUCAGGCCAAGUGCUAUGGCUCACGCCUGUAAUCCCAGCACUUUGGGAAGCCAAGGUGGGUGGAUCACCUGAGGUCAGUAGUUCAAUACCAGCCUGGCCAACAUGGCAAAACCUCGUCUCUACUAAAAAAUGCAAAAAAGUAGCCAGGCAUGGUGGUGGCAUGUGCCUGUAAUCCUAGCUACUCGGGAGGCUGAGGCAGGAGAAUCACUUGAACCCAGGAGGCAGAGGUUGCAGUGAGCCAAGAUCGCACAACUGCACUCCAGACUGGGCAACAGAGAGAGACUCCAUCUCAAAACAAAACAAAACAAAAACAAAAACCCAGAAGUGUCCUUUUUAACUAGUAAAUUUUACAUAGUAAAAUGUAAGCAAACAACAUCAGUAACACUAAAUGGAACUCUUUAGGAGUUUCCUUUGAUUGAGGAUCAUUUGAGAAAUCCACCAAGCCACUUGUAUAUAGUGUCAGAAUUUUAGGCUCAGGUAUACUUCUGAUUCCACAGCCAUGGGAAAGUCACCUAAUGUCGCUCUACCCUGGAAUUCUCCAUGUUAGAUAAGAGGUCUCAGAGCAAAUAAACACUGAGGUUUGCUCCAGCUCUGAAUGUCUGAGAAUUCACCCAUAACUGAGGCUGUUGCAAUGUGUCUUUUCCUUCCGUAGUGUUUUUGCUGACUCACUUGUGACCCAAAUGCUCCAUCAGGUCAGAGGAAACAUGUAUACAUAAGAAAAACCCUUGGGAAACUCAGUGGCAAGGUAAUCAUGUCCUUGGAGCAGAAUAAGUGCAAGGGAUAAACAACACAGCUUUGCUUAAAACCAGCUGCCCUUGUGUGACCUGAAGGGGCUUCCCUAGAGAGGAGCUAAGAAGUGAAACUUUGCUUUUCGUCAGAAGAAAAGUGAUUUGAAGAAUUAAGGACUUUCAGGAAGGAAAAUCACUGCUAUGUUUAACUCUCAAAAGUUGAGGAGGCCAGACAUGGUGGCUCAUGCCUGUGAUGCCAACAAUUUGGGAUGCCAAGGUGAGAGGAUCGUUUGAAGUCAGGAGUUCAAGACCAGCCUGGGACACAUAGUGAGACAUUGUCUCUAUUAAAAAAAACGAAAAACAAAAAAAACGGCGGCGGGGGUGGUGGUGGGGGAAGAAUCUCAAAUUUAAAAAGAUGCCAUAAAAGGUACAAGGGUAAGGCAUUGCAAAGACCAUUAUUAAGGGUGUUGAGGGCUGGCACAGUGGCUCAUGCCUGUAAUUCCACUUUGGGAGGCAGAUCGCUUGAGCCUAGGAGUUUCAGCCCACAGUGAGCUGUGAUCGCGCCACUGCACUCUAACAUGGACGGUGGAGUGAGACUCCAUUUUGGGAAAAAAAAAAAAAAAAAGGAGUUGAGCAGAGGAAAUACUAGGUGAACUCCACUCACUCAGAAAUGUCACCUUGAAU